rnacentral:lncRNA from 10 species
CGGGCGGAUCAUGAGGUCAGGAGAUCAAGACCAUUCUGGCUAACACACGAUGAAACCCCGUCUCUACUAAAAACACAAAAAAUUUAGCCGGGCAUGGUGGCGGGCGCCUGUAGUCCCAGAUACUCGGGAGACUGAGGCAGGAGAAUGGCGUGAACCCGGGAGGCAGAGCUUGCAGUAAGCCGAGAUCGCGCCACUGCACUCCAGCCUGGGCGAGAGAGCGAGACUCCGUCUCAAAAAAAAAAAAGGCUUUAAAAAACUAUGACAUUUGAAUAUAAUCAUAGAAGCAACACUCAUUAAAAUCACAUGAAUUUGUGUUAUACGAAAGGAGAGGUUGGCACUCCACUUGACAAAGAUGGAAGAGGCCCUCGGGCCUGACAAUACACAUAUGGUAAGGCACUGCCACCUGCUUCAUGGAGUCUGACCAUCAUUAAAAAAAAAAAAAAAAAAAAAAAAUCAUGGCUGGGCACGCGGUGGCUCACGCCUGUAAUCCCAGCACUUUGGGAGGCCAAGACGGGCAGAUCACGAGGUCAGGAGAUCGAAACCAUCCUGGCUACCACGGUGAAACACCAUCUCUACUAAAAAUACAAAAACAAAAUUAGCCAGGCAUGGUGGCGGGCGCCGGUAGUCCCAGCUACUUGGGAGGCUGAGGAGGGAGAACGGAGUGAACCUGAGAGGCGGAGCUUGCAGUGAGCGGAGAUCGGGCCACUACACUCCAGCCUGGGCAACAGAGAAACUCCAUCUCAAAAAAAAUAAAUAAAUAAAAUAAAAUCACAUUAAUUCCUUACCUAAAUCCCAACAAUGAUCAGAAUGAACAUGAUUAACUAGUUACAUGCCACUACAUGCCAUUCUGUAUUUGUAGCACACUUUAUACCUCACAUCAAUAUUAUUGCUGAUUACAAUAUUAAACAAUUAGCUAAUUACAUGCCAUUCUGUAUUUGUAGCACACAAUUUAACAUUUCACAUAUUAUUGUUAUAGCCAUAACACUAAUUGUUCUAUAUAUUGGGUUGCUUUAUUAGUUGUUUUGUGUGUAGGUGUUGCAUCUCUCAAAUUUAUUAUAGAUAACUGAGAACUGAAUUAUAGAUAACUUUAAAACUGUAACUUAGAACUCUGUGCCAUCCUUCCACAGAGUUCUAAAUACACUUGAAGGUGGUCCAUAAAUAUUUGACCACUGAGUCCCUAAAAUCAUAUACAUUUUGGUUGCAUCUUGGGACAGUUCUUAGCAUAGACCAAAGCCUGUAAAGCCAUACAGAAUCUUGCCCCUGCCAAAUCCCAUUAAGCUCAUACCAUGUCCCUGGCCUUCCUGGCACUCUCCUGCUUUAGGGUCUUUAUAUGGCCAUUUCCUCCCACUCUUCUCUCCACCUAGUCAGGUCCUGUUCUUUCUUUUUUUUCUUUCUUUCUUUUUUGAGAUGGAGUCUCGCUCUCUUACCCAGGCUGAAGUGCAGUGGCGUAAUCUUGGCUCACUGCAACCUUCACCUCCCGGGUUCAAGCGAUUCUCUUGCCUCAGCCUCCUGAGUAGCUGGGGUUACAGGUGCACAUCACCACGUCUGGCUGGUUGGUUUUUUUUUUUGUAUUUUUAGUAGAGACAGGGUUUCAUCAUGUUGGUCAGGCCGGUCUCGAAUUCCUGACCUCGUGAUCCGCCCACCUCAGCCUCCCAAAGUGCUGGGAUUACAGGCGUGAGCCACUGCGCCCAGCCAAGUCCUGCUCAUUCUUUAAGUCAGCCCAAACCACUUCUGCAGUGAAGUUCUUCCUUGACUCUAGGGCAGUUUAUACACCUUAUCAUAAACUCUCAUAGCCCUUCUUUCCUGGAAUCCCUUUCACAAUUGAGAUUAAAUAGCUGUAAAAUAGUCAUUUAAUAUCCAUGGUAGACAGACUUCUAAGAUGGCCCCUAAUAAUCCAUUACUCCUGGUAGUUACACCUAUGUAAUCCCCUGCCCUUAAGUGUGGGCUGGACCUAGUAACUUGUUUCUAAAAAUAGAAUAUAGCAAAAGGGAUAGAAUAACUUACUGUAUUAUAAUUUUGAAAGUAAAAUUUAAAAGUAAAAAAAAUUUAAAAAUAACAAGAUGUCACCUCCUUGAUUAGGUUGCCUCAGAGUUACUAGAAGACUCUCUCUCUUGAUGAAGCCAUGUUGGGGGCACACAUGGCAAGGGACUGAGGAUAGCCUCCAGCCAACAGCCUGCCAGGCAAUCAGGAACUGAAUCCUGCCAACAACUGAAUGAGCUUGAAGCGAAUGCUGUCUGGACAACAUUUGAGAUGAUCCAUCUUGACUGCAACCUUGUGAAAAGACCCUGAAGUUGAGGACCCAACUAAGCCACACCUGAAUUCCUAACCCACAGAAAAUUUGAGAUAAUGUGUACUGUUUUAGCCUUUAAAUUGUGGGGUAAUUUGUCACGCAGCAAUAGAAUACAUUAUCUGCCCCCUACAAAGCUCUUGCUCUCUAUUGCACCCCCUUACCCCAGCACGGUGCUUUGCAGCUAACAGAUUUAAGUAUACUUAUGACUGAAAUAAUUAAUGAACAAAAGCUUAAUAUUAGGUCAAAUUCUAAGCGAAAAGAAAGUUAAUUCAUCAGUUCCUCAUGCUUUCAAAAUGUCAAGGACCAAUUGAACAAAAUUCAUUAUUUUCUCCCAAGGCAUCUCCCAAAGCACAGUUAAAAGUCCCAUAAAACUCACAAAACCAACCAAAAAUCUACACACACAAAAGCAAUAAAAACUGAUACAGAGAGGUAUAUCCAAUCCAGCAGGUAUUUCAAUAUGUAUAAAAUAUUGUGUUCUAGGUCAGGCGCAGUGGUUCACGCCUGUAAUUCCAGCAUUCUGGGAGGCCACGGCGCGAGGACUACUUGAGCCCAGGAGUUCAAGACCAGCCUGGGCAACAUAGCCAGACCCCGUCUCUAAAAAACAUACAACAACAAAAAAUCAGCCAGGUAUGGUGGCCCAUGCCUGCAGUCCCAGCUACUUCAGCCCAGGAGGUUGAGGCUGCAGUAAGUCAAGUUCGCAUCACUGCCCUCCAGCUUGGGCGAGAGUGAGACCAUGACUCAAAAAAAAAAAAAUACAUAUAUAUAUAUACACACACACCACACACACACACACACACACACACACACACACACACGUACAUAUAGAACUCUAAAACACGGAGCAGAUUUAAUGAGAGAAAUCUUGGGAAGGUUCAUAUGUUCUAUAGGUCCUCAAAAACACGGAUAUGCCCAGGAAACCUGACUUUCACAUAAAUUGGCAACUGCAGACGUGCAAGUGGGCUUUCUCGGGUCUCUCAUCUUAUGUCUCAGCAACCUUCCCGGGAGCCUGAGAGCUGUCCAGGUCACAAUGUUGAUAACCGGCUGCCAUAGAUAGGUUGCAGCUUCUCGGGCUCAGUUUGACAUGUGCAGAAGAGCCUCGGCCCGCCUAGAAGAAACAUUAAACUCCUCGCAUGGGUCGGGGAAACCAAAGAAGGCACGGCAGCCUCAAGAUCCACCUCGCUUCUUAGAACUUUUUUUUAAUGGAGUCUCUCUCUGUCGCCAGGAUGGAGUAGAGUGGCACGAUAUCGGCUCACCGCAACCUCCUCCUCCCGGGUUCAAGCGAUUCUCCUGCCUCAGCCUCCCAACUAACUGGGACUACAAGCGCGCGCCACCACGCCCAGCUAAUUUUUGUAUUUUUAGUAGAGACGGGGCUUCACCAUGUUGGCCAGGAUGGUCUCGAUCUCCUGACCUCGUGAUCCGCCCGCCUCGACCUCCCAAAGUGCUGGGAUUACAAGCGUGAGCCACCGCGCCCGACCGCUUCUUAGAACUCUGAAAUUUAAGGUCAAGCCCCCUCUCGGCGCGCGGGGAGCCGCCGCGGUGCGUCCCGCUGCCGCACCAGGCAGACGGGCCCCAGCUCUUCCCUCUCGCCCUUCAAGCUGCCCGAGCCCACUCACCCACGGAGCAGCAAGCCCCGCAACUUGAAGGCGGAGAGCGCCCGGCUCCGCAGCCGCUCCG